rnacentral:rRNA from 1 species
GGAGUGCUUGCACUCGCUGACGACCGGCGCACGGGUGCGUAACGCGUAUAGAACUUACCUUUUACAGAGGGAUAGCCUUUAGAAAUGAAGAUUAAUACCUUAUAGUAUUGAGAUUUGGCAUCAAGACUCAAUUAAAGAUUUAUCGGUAAAAGAUGGCUAUGCGUCCUAUUAGUUAGUUGGUAAGGUAACGGCUUACCAAGACAGCGAUAGGUAGGGGUCCUGAGAGGGAGAUCCCCCACACUGGUACUGAGACACGGACCAGACUCCUACGGGAGGCAGCAGUGAGGAAUAUUGGGCAAUGGAGGCAACUCUGACCCAGCCAUGCCGCGUGCAGGAAGACGGCCCUAUGGGUUGUAAACUGCUUUUAUACAGGAAGAAACCCUGCUACGUGUAGCAGCUUGACGGUACUGUAAGAAUAAGGACCGGCUAACUCCGUGCCAGCAGCCGCGGUAAUACGGAGGGUCCGAGCGUUAUCCGGAAUCAUUGGGUUUAAAGGGUCCGCAGGCGGUCAAUUAAGUCA